CUGACUUCUGCUUUGCUUAAUAGUAUGGACUGAAGAAAGAAGUUAAUUAUUUUCAUAAAUUGUACUUGUCUCGUAGACUUAACAGUCUCUGUGAGAGCGUGACAUGGAUACAAAACUGAGGAUCUUAUAUUCCAUCAGAGAAGAGAAAAUGCAUCUAUAAACCUAAACAAAUAAAAACAAAAUAAUUAAGGAGGGAAGUUAGAGGGGAGGCACCAGCAUCUGUUAGAUGCCAUCUGACAAUAUGGCAUGUGAAUGGUGGUAGUUGAGCUGAUAUCUGAAAAAAACCUAAGGGUUCUAAGAGGUAAAACAUAGGAGGGAAUGUAUUACAUUACAAAGAUAUAGAGUUGGGAAAUGGACUGGAUAGAAUGGCAGAAGGGGGACCAUAUAUAAUAGGCCUUAGAAAUUUUGAAAAGAAGUCAUGUGGAACAGGGUUCCAAAUAUGGGGCCAGGUUGAAAAUGAGUUUAAUGUCAGAAAAACGAGUUUGUAUUUGACCCUAUAGGAAUAGGAUUAACUGAAGUUUGUUGUAUAGAAAAGAGACAUAAAUAGACCUGUGUUUUUAGCAAAUUUACUUUGGCAAUUGAGUGGACAAUGAAUUGAAGAGACCUUUGAAGCAAGGAGACCAAUUGAGUGGUCACUGUAAUAUUCAAGCAAGAACUAAGGCCUACAUUAGAAAAUGGCCAGGUAAGCAGAGGAGACUAACAAUGUAAAAGACACAUUGGAAGUAGAACUAACAAGAUUUGGCAAUUGAUGACACAUAUCUGGUGAGGGAGAGUAAAGGGUCAUGGAUUACAUUACAGUCUUCAAUCUUUUUUAUUAGAAGAAUGAUAGUUUUUUUUUUUUUUUUUUAGAGAGUAGGGGAAGUUUGAAAGAGAGUUGUAUUUUGAGGGUAAGGCCACAAUGUAAUAUUUAACUGGUUAACUGUAAGGUCAAUAUUAGAAUAGGGGAAAGUAAAGUCAUGUCAGGGAUGAAAGUCUGGACAAAGUAUUAAGGAAUGAAAAGAAAGGAGACCAUGGUGAAAAAAAAAAGAUUAGGUUUAGAGGGAAUGAAGCACAGAGGAAGAUAGUAGGAGCAGAAAUUUGUGGGUGAUGGAAAGGUCAAGAGUAUGACUAGGUGACAUUUAUCUGGCUGAGUUGGAAUGGGAGGACUAAGUUAGAUACUGAGGUUAAGAUACUGAGAAACUAAUAUAUUUGAAGAAAUAUCAAUACAGAUAGAGAUGUACCCUGGCCUGAUAGGAUUUAUAGUGGACCAAAAUACUGUGAGCCAGAUACUUUCUCAUUGAGAAAAGAAGAAUGAUCUGGAGACCAAUAGGAAAGUGGCAAAUAAUUGAGUUGUGUAUUUAUUUGGGUUAUGUAUAGAGUGAGCCUCAAAGCAAGAAAGGAUUAUUGAGUGAGAGUUGGAGUAUGGAAGUGAGUAGUUUUCUUUGUUCUUCUCAAGGACCAAUAUGUUGUGGGACAUAAAGGAAGGUAGAACAAAUACUGGAAAGGACAAUCAAAGAAUGAAGUAUCCCUGAGGGGCAGCUAGGUUUUACUGAAUAACAGAGAAUGGAAGGAAUAAGAAAAAAGUCUAAAAUGAAAAUAAUUUUGUGAAUUAAGGGGUAGGUAACAAGAAAGAAGGUUAAAAUGAAGGAAAGUUUGUUAUUAGUGAGCAGUAAUUUCAAAGAACACAACAGAAAGGGAAACAGAUCUCUUAUAUGUAAAGUACAUUUCAGAUGCCGUAGGGACCAUGUUUCAUCUAUUAUUGUAAGUGUGGUGCAGUUGCUAUGAUAUAGCAGAAUAAGGUUGCUAUAUCCAUAUGAGAAACCACAUCAUACUUGAACCUUGCUAUGGGGAAGGUGCUACAGAGAAAAUGGGAUCUCAGUUAUCCUCUCAGGGAUGGGGGAUUCUGUCAGUAUCUUUUCGCAGGUCAAGUCCAUGGAUGGGAGCAAUUUGUGGAGUUCUAGUUCUGACUUGUGCAUUUGAAAUUGAAAUGUGUAUUUUUUACUUGUGGAUACGGCACAGAUGCAGAGGGUUUAUUUAUGAUGAAACAUCAUUUUGGAAAGAAUGGAAAUUUGGAAUAGCAAUUGUUUUUCUUAUAAUUACAAAGAACAUUCCCUUAAUACUUCAAAUAAAAUACUUCAUGCAACAAAGGCAACAUCUCAACAUCCAACCAGUCCCCAGACCUGACAAUAAGAGGACCAUAUGGAGGUUUGGGGAGCACUGUUGCAUCAAGUGAUGGAUGACUCAAAGCUGAAGCCUGCAAUGGCAAAUAGAAUGAGAAUCCUCUGCUAAAUCAGAAUUUCUGACUACUCAUCAGAUGAACUAAAGCAAGCUAAUGACUUCCCUAACUCUCUCUUCCAUUAUAGUUUUAAAGCAUGAGAACUAUUUCAUAAUACAUUGGGAGAAUCAGAUCAAAAAAGAGGUAAUUGCCUAUUUUCUAUCCAGCUUCCAUGAUCACAGAGAUUAUAUAAUCACCUCUAUAGUAUUAUUUUUAUUCUUUCCUGAUCUUAUUCAACUAAGUUUCCUGUGUUGAACUUGUCAAAGACUUCUACCUCCAAAGCCUCAGAGAAAAAUGAUAAAGUGGGGGCAGCUAGGUGGUGCAGUGGAUAGAGCAUCAUUCCUGAAGUCAGGAGGACCUGAAUUGAAAUUUGGUCUCAGAGACUUAAUACUUCCUAGCUGUGUGACCUUGGGCAAGUCAUCUACCCUCAAUUGCCUCAGCAAAAAAACAAACAACAACAACAAAAAAACCCCAAACCCCCGCUACAUUUAUUUUUAAAAAAAGAAAAGAAAAAGAAAAAUGAUGAAGUGGUUCCAGGCCCCAGGCCCCAGAAGACUUCUUGGAUAUCUUUAAAUCAAAAAAGGACUUUUAAAACUCAAAUUUAAAAAAAAAUCAAGAGAGGGAGAGGCAAAAUUGGGGAAAAAUAAGAGUAAUAUAAGGAAAUUGUGAAAAAAAAAAAGCAUCAGCAGCUUAGUAAAGUGAUGAAUUAGUGAGGCCAGAAUACAGACCAAAAAUAUUUUUUCUUUAUUUUAUUUUUCUUGAGUUUCAUUUUAUUAUUUUAAAACAUAUUAUGUUUUAUUUCAUAGCAUGACAUAUGGAAAUAUUUUUUGCAUGACCACACAUGUAUAAUCUAUGUAAAAUUGCUUGCCUUUUCAAUGGGAGAGAGAAUUUUCAAUUCAAAAUUUGAAAAAGAAAUGUUAAAGUUGUUUUUCUAUAGAAAAUGGACAAAAAUACAGUAUUAAAUUAAUAAAAAUGUUAAUUGUCUUUAAAUGAAACUGGGAGGAAAUGUUAUAAAAAAGAAGACAUUUAACUUUUUAAAAUAAAUAUUAUCCUCCAAACCUAUUUCAGCAUUAAUGAUAAGUUACAGGAUUCUAUUCUAAUCAUUCAAUGAAUACAUAUUAUGUUUUGUUUACACUUAGCAUUCCUUUUUUUAGAAGCAAUAAAUUACUCAUUACAUUACA